rnacentral:rRNA from 1 species
UCAAGUGACUAAGUGCAUGUGGCGGAUGCCUUGGCGAUCACAGGCGAAGAAAGACGCGGCAGCCUGCGAAAAGCUGCGGGGAGCUGGCAAACGAGCUUUGAUCCGCAGAUAUCUGAAUGGGGGAACCCACACCGCAAGGUGUAUCCGUGACUGAAUACAUAGGUUACGGAGGCGAACGAGGAGAACUGAAACAUCUAAGUAUCCUCAGGAAAAGAAAUCAACCGAGAUUCCGGCAGUAGCGGCGAGCGAACCCGGAGGAGCCUAGCUUUUGAUAGUACGAACUUUAGCCGAAAGGUCCUGGAAAGGCCUGCUAUAGUGGGUGAUAGCCCCGUAGGCGAAAGAGUUCGUAUGGUACUAAGGAAGCGAGAAGUAGAGCGGGACACGUGGAAUCCUGUUCGAAGAUGGGGGGACCAUCCUCCAAGGCUAAAUACUCGUGAUCGACCGAUAGUGAACCAGUACCGUGAGGGAAAGGCGAAAAGAACCCCGGGAGGGGAGUGAAAUAGAACCUGAAACCGCAUGCAUACAAACAGUAGGAGCCUCGUCAGAGGUGACUGCGUACCUUUUGCAUAAUGGGUCAGCGACUUACAUUCUGUGGCGAGCUUAACCGAAUAGGGGAGGCGCAGCGAAAGCGAGUUCGAAAUGAGCGUCCAGUCGCAGGGUGUAGACCCGAAACCAGAUGAGCUAUCCAUGGCCAGGUUGAAGGUGUGGUAACACACACUGGAGGACCGAACCGACUAGUGUUGCAAAAUUAGCGGAUGAGCUGUGGAUAGGGGUGAAAGGCCAAACAAAUCUGGAGAUAGCUGGUUCUCCCCGAAAACUAUUGAGGUAGUGCCUCGUGUGUCGCUCCAGGGGGUAGAGCACUGUUUUGGCUAGGGGGACAUGGAGUCUUACCAAACCAAGGCAAACUCCGAAUACCUGGAAGCGUGAGCACGGGAGACAGAGCACCGGGUGCUAACGUCCGGACUCAAAAGGGAAACAACCCAGACCGCCGGCUAAGGUCCCCAAUAACAGCUAAGUGGAAAACGAAGUGGAAAGGCCGUGACAACCAGGAAGUUGGCUUAGAAGCAGCCAUCCUUCAAAGAAAGCGUAAUAGCUCACUGGUCGAGUCCUUCUGCGCGGAAGAUGUAACGGGGCUAAGCUGUUAACCGAAGCCGCGGAUGCACUGAUUAUUCAGUGCGUGGUAGGGGAGCGUUCUGUAAGUCUGCGAAGGCGGUUCGAGAGGACUGCUGGAGAUAUCAGAAGUGCGAAUGCUGACAUGAGUAACGUUAAAGCAGGUGAAAAGCCUGCUCGCCGUAAGCCCAAGGAUUCCUGCUCUACGUUCAUCGGAGCAGGGUGAGUCGGCUCCUAAGGUCAGGCCGAAAGGCGUAGCCGAUGGGAAUCAGGUUAAUAUUCCUGAACCUGCGUCAGAUGCGAUGGGGGGACGGAGCAUGAAAGAUCAUCCGGGUGUUGGAUGUCCCGGUUGUUGAGCGUAGGAGGUCUGCAGGCAAAUCCGCAGACGCAUCUCCAAGGCGAAGUCACGUGCCGCCACGGCGGCGAAGUGAUCGGAAGUGCUUCCAAGAAAAGCCUCUAAGCACCAGUCUGGCGCAGACCGUACCGCAAACCGACACUGGUGGGCGAGCUGAAUAUGCUCAGGCGCUUGAGAGAACUCGGGAGAAGGAACUCGGCAAAUUGACCCCGUAACUUCGGAAGAAGGUGUGCCGUAGUACCGUGAGAGGAGAGACACCUUGAGCGGGAAUCGGUCUCAGAGAAUAGGUGGCUGCGACUGUUUAUUAAAAACACAGCACUCUGCAAAGUCGAAAGACGACGUAUAGGGUGUGAUGCCUGCCCGGUGCUGGAAGAUUAAUUGAUGGGGUGAGAGCCCUUGAUCGAAGUCCCAGUAAACGGCGGCCGUAACUAUAACGGUCCUAAGGUAGCGAAAUUCCUUGUC